AACUUCUGAACGUUGACCU
rnacentral:rRNA from 1 species